UACAAUGGGGAAGAUCUGCAUUCGACGCGACACACAUACGGGGUGGCUUUUAUUAGCUACUCAUUUAAUGCGUUAGGGAAACUCUCCAAGCAAUAUCCCUUUAUUGGGUGGCACUUGUAAAGAGUGCCGGAUGGGCCAUUUUUAUGGCUUGCUGUUCUAUCUUCCUUUCUGGCAAAGCUGAGUCUGGGGAGCUCUGGGGCAGUCACAUUUUCUUGCUAUAACAACAGUCAUUGCAGGUGCCCUGGGCAAUCUUUUUUGUCUUUGGGAUAACUCAAUGGAGACUACUCUCCUUCAUUGU
rnacentral:RNase_MRP_RNA from 2 species